GGAAUCGAACGGGUGAGAGCCAUGGCUCUUUGAGAGAAACGAAACGAACUUAUUAUUCGGAGAG
rnacentral:ribozyme from 17 species